GGUCCACAAUAACCCAUCCUUCUUAGUCAUAUGGUAAAGUGGUUGGCAGAUUUUGCCAAAACCAAGCACAAAUUUCCUGUAAUUUCAUAUUACGUCAGAAUGUAUACCUAGAUCUCGCAAGUUCUUAAAAUUGUGGCGGUCCAAUUGGUGAAACUAGAAACAACUAAGAAUUGAAAUCAAUUAAUAAUUUCAUAUGUUUCUUGAUAAGUUACUUGGAUUUCUAUUGAUUUUGUAGUCGAACGGCCGGGGGAAACUAAAAUCUGAAAAGAAACUUCCUUUGUGCCUCUCGUAAUUCUUCCGCUGCUUCCACCCCCUUGGCUAUCUCUCUCUCUUCGAUGGCUUUGAGAGAAGAUGACUAAAAAAGCAUUUUCAGCUUGAAGAAUCUCUCUAUCCUUGUGGGAUUGUAUUUCUGCAAAUCUCAGUUAGGUUAUGGAUAUGAGAUGCGAAAUUGGGCCGCGGGAAUCAGCCAAGAAAGUCGUCGUAUCUCCUGCAAUCCUUUCAAAGUAUCAGCCGUCAGAUCGAUUAACGCCUGGUGUGCUUUUCCCAGAUAACACCUAGUUCUCGGAUUUCAUAUUUAUAUAUAAAGGAAGGCGGAUGUCAAGGGAUGAAGCUAAGUCUGGUGGUUGGGCUGCCUUUGACCUCAUGCAGCGCUAGAAACAAGGCCUUGAGCCUUAAGUUGACAAGGAUCGUUUCCCACCUAUACCAACCAAUCUAACUUCUCUACAUCCUCGUGAAAACGUACCGAUCGAGGAAUAAUGACCUCCUGGGCAGGCCUUUUUCAACUCUACACCUCCCAUCUGUAGAUUGUCCAACUUUGGCAGAGAAUAGGGUUGGGAAAAGUUCUUUAUUAGAUGGCGAUUCUAAUGGGAAACAGUACACUUCUGUGGAAGAUAAUACAUCUUCCAUGAAGAAGAUCGUGGAUUUUACCCUUGGGCUGACGAUUCCAGUGGGACCCUUUAUUUCGAGACGCUUAAAAUCUGAUGUUAUGCAACAACUUGUUCCUAAAAUACAGCGAAAAAAAAAGCUGAGAAAUGUACUGCAGGUUGAGUAUGUUAUAAUGGACAAGGAACAAGACGACGCCUAUAAAGAAGCCAUUCAAGAGUAUCGGGCAGCUUCACAAGCUCGUAUUGCAAAAACUUCAGAGGUUAACUCGAACAGUAUUCUUAAGGUUCUUCUCGGCAGAUCUCCAACUAUUUUGUUCAAUUUCGUAAGAUUGCAAAUCAUCCUUUACUAGUAAGGCGUAUUUACAGUGAUGAGGAUGUUAUUCGUUUUGCCAGAAAGUUGCAUUAGACAAAGUAAUUGGGGAACUUAAGAAUUAUGGUGACUUCUUUAUCCAUCCGGCUUUUGCUGUAUAUUGGUGUCUCUGAUAAGAAGGGAUUGCUUCCAGACAAAUAUGCAUUGCUUUCUUCAAAAUCUCAGGUAUAAUGCCUACUUUAAUAACUUCACUAACCAAUUUGUAUGAGUCAAAAUUUGGAGAGAGUUGUCAUAUGAUACUCUUUGCUCAAAACUGAGGAGAGUUUUCUUGUUAAUGAUAUUAGUGAUUGACUGAACUUCUUCCUUCACUGAAGCUAGCUGGGCAUCGUGUUCUGAUUUUCAGCCAGUGGACAUCAAUGCUUGAUAUUUUGGGGUGGACUUUGUGUUACAUACAAACGACUUGAUGGAAGCAAGAGCUAGAGGCCACAAGAGCAGACGAUGGUUGAUACAUUCAAUAAUGACACUUCUAUAUUUGCUUGCUUGCUGUCCACAAGAGUUGGAGGCCAGGGUUUGAACUUGGUUAGAGCUGAUACCGUAGUUAUUCAUGAUAUGGAUUUCAACCUGCAAAUUGAUCGACAGGCAGAAGAUCAUUGUCAUCGCAUCGGCCAAGUGAAGCCUGUUACCAUAAACAGGUUUGCCCUUCUUUAAUUUCCCAAUCUCCCUCCUCACCUAUGCUUAUCGCUCUGAGAGAAGCACCUGUCAGGUUUAACCCCACCCCUUCUUCCCUGUUUUUAUAAUGUGGUAUUGGUUUGAGUCAUAAACUUGAAUAGAAAAUUGUAGGAUUAU